ACGGGAGGCAGCAGUGGGGGAUAUUGCACAAUGGGGGAAACCCUGAUGCAGCGACGCCGCGUGAGCGAAGAAGUAUUUCGGUAUGUAAAGCUCUAUCAGCAGGGAAGAAAAUGACGGUACCUGACUAAGAAGCCCCGGCUAACUCCGUGCCAGCAGCCGCGGUAAUACGGAGGAUGCAAGCGUUAUCCGGAUUUAUUGGGUUUAAAGGGUGCGUAGGCGGACGCGUAAGUCAGUGGUGAAAUAUGUCGGCUCAACCGGCAGGCUGCCAUUGAUACUGCGCGACUAGAGUCCAAACGGCGCCGGCGGAAUAUGUCAUGUAGCGGUGAAAUGCUUAGAUAUGACAUAGAACACCGAUCGCGAAGGCAGCUGGCGAGGAUGCGACUGACGCUGAGGCACGAAGGCGUGGGGAUCGAACAGGAUUAGAUACCCUGGUA
rnacentral:rRNA from 1 species